AUUGAACGCUGGCGGCAUGCCUUACACAUGCAAGUCGAACGGUAACAGGUCUUCGGAUGCUGGCGAGUGGCGAACGGGUGAGUAAUACAUCGGAACGUGCCCGAUCGCGGGGGGUAACGGAGCGAAAGCUAUGCUAAUACCGCAUACGAUCUACGGAUGAAAGCAGGGGACCGCAAGGCCUUGCGCGGACGGAGCGGCCGAUGGCAGAUUAGGUAGUUGGUGGGAUAAAAGCUUACCAAGCCGACGAUCUGUAGCUGGUCUGAGAGGACGACCAGCGACACUGGGACUGAGACACGGCACAGACUCCUACGGGAGGCAGCAGUGGGGAAUUUUGGACAAUGGGCGAAAGCCUGAUCCAGCCAUGCCGCGUGCAGGAUGAAGGCCUUCGGGUUGUAAACUGCUUUUGUACGGAACGAAAAGACUCUUUCUUAUAAAGAGGGUCCAUGACGGUACCGGAAGAAUAAGCACCGGCUAACUACGUG
rnacentral:rRNA from 1 species